rnacentral:rRNA from 1 species
AUUGAACGCUGGCGGCAUGCUUUACACAUGCAAGUCGAACGGUAACAGGCCGCAAGGUGCUGACGAGUGGCGAACGGGUGAGUAAUGCAUCGGAACGUGCCCAGUCGUGGGGGAUAACGCAGCGAAAGCUGUGCUAAUACCGCAUACGAUCUAUGGAUGAAAGCGGGGGACCGUAAGGCCUCGCGCGAUUGGAGCGGCCGAUGUCAGAUUAGGUAGUUGGUGGGGUAAAGGCCCACCGAGCCAACGAUCUGUAGCUGGUCUGAGAGGACGACCAGCCACACUGGGACUGAGACACGGCCCAGACUGCUACGGGAGGCAGCAGUGGGGAAUUUUGGACAAUGGGCGCAAGCCUGAUCCAGCAAUGCCGCGUGCAGGAAGAAGGCCUUCGGGUUGUAAACUGCUUUUGUACGGAACGAAACGGUCUGGGUUAAUACCCUGGGCUAAUGACGGUACCGUAAGAAUAAGCACCGGCUAACUACGUGCCAGCAGCAGCCGCGG